rnacentral:misc_RNA from 1 species
UGAACCCUUUCCAGCCUUGGCCUCCACAACUUCAGUGCCACCAUCUUGGGUACGCUUGGUAAGUGCCUGAAUGUCUUCACUUGACAAAUUUGCACUUGGAGUGGCUUGGGAAAAUAACGGGAGGAUAGUUACGCCAGCAUGACCACCAACAACAGGGACAUUGACAUCAGCAACGUUAACUUUAGCUUUUCCAGCAUAGAAAGUCUUUGCCCUAACAACGUCAAGUGUGGUCACUCCAAAGAGUCUCUUCUCAUCAUAGGUUCCAGCCUUCUUGAACACCUCAGAUGCAAUUGGGACAGUGGAAUUCACGGGGUUGCUGAUCACAUUGACAAGUGCAUGAGGGCAAUACUUUGCAAUAGCUGUGCAAAGAGACUUAACAAUACCAGCAUUAAUGUUGAACAGAUCAUCACGGGUCAUACCAGGUUUCCGUGGCACACCAGCUGGAAUAAUGACAACAUCAGCUCCCUCCAAAGCCUUCCCUAGCUGUUCUUCUCCUGCAUAACCCAAAAUCUCAGAUCUGGUGUUGAUAUGGCUGACAUCAGCGGCAACACCAGGAGUUCCGGCAAUAUCGUAGAGUGCAAGUCUGGAAACUAAAGGAUUCAGUUUCAUGAGAAGUGACAGAGGCUGCCCGAUCCCUCCAGCUGCACCUAAAAUAGCGACUUUCCUGUCCGGAGCAGAUUCCGAUGCAAAUCCCCGGCGUGUGAGGCCGGCGGUUGAGGUUCUGCGAGCCAGUAAUCUCACCACGGAUGUCCUCAUUGCUAUGUCGGAGAAAAACCUGAAGCGA